UCCCUUCUUCAGCGCCGCUUCUCUUCAGUCUUCAUUGUGCGUAGACCCAAAACUAGGUGACUCUUCAGUCUUCACUUUCUGCUUACAAAGUACAAACCUAGCUCUGUUCUAUCCCCAUUGUCGCCGACUCGCCGUUGAUUAUCAUCGUUUCCAGAAAGCUCUUGGCAGUUGCGCUCACUUGACAGCUCUAAGACGAGAUUCAAUUGCGAGGAGUGCUGACUUCGUCUUGCUUUGCUUCAUUCAACUCGUUUAAGUCUUUCAAAUGAUGUGACCGUGGAGAAGUUGUCUGACAAAUGAGAUGAUUGGGGAACCAAUUCCAUGAAUGAUCAACACCUUCAUAUGAGAUGCAUGACUCAUAUUGUAAAUCUUAUUGUGAAAGAUGGUUUAAAAGAGUCAGGUAUUUCUAUUGCUCGUGUUAGAUGUGCAGUCAGAUACAUUAGACAAUCUCCUGCUAGGUUGAGGAAGUUUCAGGAAUGUUGUGAAAGUGAAAAUAUUGUCAAGAAGUCUUUAUGCUUAGAUGUUCCUACAAGGUGGAAUUCCACCUACUUGAUGUUGAGCAGGGCUAUUGAAUAUGAGCGUGCAAUUAAAGAAUAUUCUGAUCGUGAUACCGGCUUGUCACGUUAUCUUAUGUUUGAUGCUAUUUCAGAUGGAAAGCCUGUAGGUUUGCUUACAAGAAUUGAUUGGGAUGAUAUAAAGAGAAUUGCACAAUUUCUUGAAAUAUUUUAUAAUCUCACUUUGAAGGUGUCCGGAUCACUUUAUGUAACAUCGAAUUCCCAUUUUCUUGAGUGAGAUGGUAUCAAGUAUGUGGAAAAAAUUUGAGAAGUAUUGGGGUGAGCCAACAAAAUUGAACAAAAUGAUUUACAUUGCUUGUGUUUUGGAUCCUCGCUACAAGUUUACUACUGUUAGUUUUGUACUUAAGAAGAUGUUUGGAGAUGAAGGGACAAUUAUUAAAAAAGAGGUUCAUACUUAUAUGAGUUCAUUUUUUAAUGAGUAUGUCUCUAAGUCGGUUUCAAAGAUACUGGUGGUAAAGUUUCUACCUCUUUGCCAAGCUCUUCAUUCAGCACAAUGGAAACUUCAACUCCUGGUUUAGGUGAAAUUUUAGAUGAAAUUAGGAAACAUAAAGCUGCAAGUAGAGGUGUAGAUUCUAAAACAGAAUUGGAAAAGUAUCUUGCAGAAGAUCCUGAAAAUGAAAGACCGGACAUUGAUAUCUUGUCUUGGUGGAAGGUGAACUCACCUAGAUUUCCUAUUCUUGCUAAGAUGGCUCGAGAUGUGCUUGCUAUUCCUAUUUCAAGUGUGGCAUCUGAAAGUGCAUUUAGUACCGGAGGACGUAUUCUUGACCAAUUUAGGAGUUCAUUAACUCCUAAAUUGAUUGAAACUCUAGUGUGCCUUCAAGAUUGGCUUCGGAGUAAAUCACUUCCUGUAAAUGUUGAGGAAGAUUUAGAUUUUCUCGAGACACUUGGGGAAGAUUUUACUAAUCUUGGCAAAGAAGCUUCCACCGACGAUGUUUGCUAGAGUUUUUAGCUGCUAUGUUUUGUUUAAAGCUCAUAUUUAAAACUCAAGGGAAUGAAGUUCAAAUUAAUGAUGUAUUUUGUUUUGCUUAGAGGAAAUGUAUUAGAACUUACCGGUUUGGUAUAAGAUUUGGAGAGAAUGAGGCAUUUUAAGAGUUGACUCAACUACCUCUGGAACUAUGCUUUGGAAAUACUGUACUGAUCACAGAAUGUCUUGCACAAGUAAUCUCUUCUCUUCAUGGUAGAUAAGUUCUAAAAUUUGGAUCUGUAGCAUAGAUAUAAUCUAUUACUUCUUUUGCAUUAAACAAGCACAUUAGAAACUUGGUCUUGCUACUCUUGAAAAAUAAGGCACAUAGUUUGCUUUGUUAAACUAGCAUCGAGAGUUGUUGUUGCCUCUUUAUGUAGCUUUACUU